ACUGCUUAAGUCGAAGUAGAGGCGUCAGGAUGAUACCCUGGAAGAAGGGUGUGUCUACCCAAGCAGUA
rnacentral:tRNA from 1 species